ACUUAGUGAUGUGGGAAUUUGCGCAAAAGGUCCCUAAAGCGCUCUUAGGUCUCGAAAAAUUGUUCACCAUCUAUUUGUGAAAAGCUGGUGAUUGCCUUCCUAAGAU